GAACCGCAUUUGAAACUGGCAGGCUAGAGUCUUGUAGAGGGGGGUAGAAUUUCAGGUGUAGCGGUGAAAUGCGUAGAGAUCUGAAGGAAUACCAGUGGCGAAGGCGGCCCCCUGGACAAAGACUGACGCUCAGAUGCGAAAGCGUGGGUAGCAAACAGGAUUAGAUACCCUGGUAGUCCACGCCGUAAACGCUGUCUACUUGGAGGUUGAGGUUUUAGACUUUGGCUUUCGGCGCUAACGCAUUAAGUAGACCGCCUGGGGAGUACGGCCGCAAGGUUAAAACUCAAAUGAAUUGACGGGGGCCCGCACAAGCGGUGGAGCAUGUGGUUUAAUUCGAUGCAACGCGAAGAACCUUACCUACUCUUGACAUCCAGCGAAGCCUUUAGAGAUAG
rnacentral:rRNA from 1 species